rnacentral:rRNA from 1 species
CCUGAGAGGGUGAACGGCCACAUUGGGACUGAGACACGGCCCAAACUCCUACGGGAGGCAGCAGUGGGGAAUAUUGCACAAUGGGGGAAACCCUGAUGCAGCAACGCCGCGUGAGUGAAGAAGUAUUUCGGUAUGUAAAGCUCUGUCAGCAGGAAAGAAAAUGACGGUACCUGACUAAGAAGCCCCGGCUAACUACGUGCCAGCAGCCGCGGUAAUACGUAGGGGGCAAGCGUUAUCCGGAUUUACUGGGUGUAAAGGGAGCGUAGACGGUUUUGCAAGUCUGAAGUGAAAGCCCGGGGCUUAACCCCGGGACUGCUUUGGAAACUGUAGAACUAGAGUGCAGGAGAGGUAAGUGGAAUUCCUAGUGUAGCGGUGAAAUGCGUAGAUAUUAGGAGGAACACCAGUGGCGAAGGCGGCUUACUGGACUGUAACUGACGUUGAGGCUCGAAAGCGUGGGGAGCAAACAGGAUUAGAUACCCUGGUAGUCCACGCCGU